UACAGAGGGUGCAAGCGUUAAUCGGAUUUACUGGGCGUAAAGCGUGUGUAGGUGGCUUCCUAAGUCGGUUGUGAAAUCCCUGGGCUCAACCUGGGAAUUGCAGUCGAUACUGGGAAGCUCGAGUUCGGUAGAGGGCGGCGGAAUUCCCGGUGUAGCAGUGAAAUGCGUAGAUAUCUGGAGGAACACCGGUGGCGAAGGCGGCAUCCUGGACCGGCAUUGACGCUGAGGCGCGAAAGCUAGGGGAGCAAACGGG
rnacentral:rRNA from 1 species